rnacentral:lncRNA from 1 species
UUUAAAAUUUAACAAAAGAACCAGAGAGAGAGUUAGGGAUGGAGGUCUGAGGAGGGAAGAGCCUAGGCUGGGAGGACAAGCCAGGUUUACCUCUGAAGACUAGACAUGGGGUGGACUGCUCAGGGAAUCUGGAGUCUAGUAGUUUUGAGGCUAGGAAUAUCUGUAAGAGAGGUUGCAGGCUCGGCACAGGGCCAGUGAAGACCCCUGAGUGUUCUAACAGGAAAGCCAGGCUCAUUGCUUGUCAGGCAGGGCAUCUGGUCCAGGACACUCAAUUCACUAGUUUCUAGUCGCCCACAGGGAACCGGGGCCAAGCUCAGCUGCCCAGUCCUGAGUAGGUCAGAGCUGGCCUGCUCCAGUGGGAAAUGGGAGCAGAUGGACACACAAGCAAACAACCACUGGACAAUCGGCCCCCUCAACAGUCUCUCUCUAAAGAUGCCCCUUGCCAUGGUGUUUAUCAUCAUUUUAAAAAAUCCAGAGACAAUCUGUAUAACCAACCACUAGAUGGAUGAGACGAUUCCUAGUAAACCAAAAGGUAGGAUCACUCUUCUUUUAAAAACAUUUUUAAAAUGUGUAUUUGUUUCUGUAUGUAUGAGUGUGUGCAGUGUGUACCCACAGAGGUCAGAAGAGGGUAUUGGAUCUCCUGAAGUCUGUCUGUCUAUCUAUCCAUCCAUCCAUCCAUCCAUCCAUUUAUCCUCUAUCUAUCUAUCCAUCCAUCCCUCUAUUUAUCUCUAUCUAUCUAUCUAUCUAUCUAUCUAUCUAUCUAUCUAUCUAUCUAUCUAUCUAUUUACCUACCUAUUUAGGCAUGGUCUUCCUCUGUGUAGCCCAGACUGGCCUAGACAGAGCUAUGCAGAGAAGGGUAACCUUAAUUUUUUUUUAAAGAUGUAUUAUUUUAUUUCAUGUGUAUGAGUGUUUGCCUGCAGUACGCCUGGGACCUGCAGAGGUCCAAAGAGUUGGAUUUCCUUGAACCAAAGCUAGGUUGAGUGAACGGUUUCAAGUCACCUUGUGGGUGCUAGAAACGGAGCCCAGGUCCUUUGCAACAGCACCGUUAACCACAGAGCUGCUCCCCGGCUCCCAGCCUUGAACUUUUGGUUCUGUUGCUUCCAUCUGCUGGGAAGAUAGGCGUGUGCCAGCAGGACCUUGGGCAUGCUAGGCAAACACAGCCAAACUGAACUCUAUGAGGCUCUGUGUAUCAGACGUGCGCGUGUCCUCAAGUCUGUAAGUAUACACAUAUGUCAAAAGGUCUCGUGUAUACGGGAAGGGUUACCGUGGCUAGCUCUCUGGGCUUUUGGAUUAUUAAGAAUCUUUGUCUCCUUUUGUGUGUGUGUAUCUUUCUGUAUUUUCUAAGUUUUCCUCUGUAUGUGUAUCUGUGUGCUGGUUUUGGUUUUUUGAGAAAGGGUCUCCGGUACCCCAGACUACUGGCCUUCAACUUGGUCUAUAGGCAGCGAUGACUUUGAAUUCCUGAUCUUCCUACCUCCUUUUCCUAGUGACAAGAUUACAGCUGUUCACCACCAUGCCCAGACCUGAAAGUUUAUAUAUAUAUAUACACACACACAUACAUACUUUGGUUAUCAUAAAAUGGCCUUUUUUAGAUUAGCAGUUCUAGGAACCAGCACCCUAGAAUUUAAAUUCCCAGCAAGGGAGAGGGGGACUCCCCACAUAACUUAUGCUGAGAUUUGGCAACUGACCCAGGGUUUUACCCUCCCCGAUCUCUGUAUACUCUGAACACCCAGCUGAGCUGAGGAUGGGGUUUGAAUGAGAUGAGGGUUUGAGAUGGGAGUCUGGUGGUUAAACCACACGCUUGCACGUGGGUCAUCAGCCCAGGGGCCAGGGGAGGGGCUGACUCAUGAAGAUCCAGUACCUGCCUGGACCUCAAUGGUCGACAAGCUGAGAGAGAGAGGCAGACAGAGACAGGAAGAGACAGAGAGACAGAGACAGAAGCCAGCUUUAGAUAGUCCUCGGGGAAUAUUAUCUAUCUAUCUAUCUAUCUAUCUAUCAUCUAUCUAUCUAUCUAUCUAUCUAUCUACUUUCAUUUACUUAUUUUUGAGAACAGGUCUCACUAUGUAGCUAUCAAUGGCCUGGAACUGGCUAUGUAGGCCAGGCUGGCAUUGAACUCAAAGAGAUCCUCCUGCCUCUACCUUCUAAAUGCUGGGAUUUAGAGGUGUUUGCCCCCAUACCUGACCCUCUCUUUUAAAACUUUUAUUUGGGCCUGGAAGGAUGUCUCAGUGGUUAAGAACACUGGCUGUUCUUCCAGAGGAUCCAGGUUCAAUUCCCAGCACCCACAUGGCAGCUCACACCUGUCUAUAACUCCAGGUCCAGGGGACCCGACUUCACAGAGACCUGCAUGCAGGCAAAACACCAUGCACAUAAAAUAAAAUAGUUCAACAAGCCCUUUAUUUUAUGUAGUGUGUGUCUGAAUAAGAGCACACAUGUAACACAGUUUAUGUGUAGAGAUCAGAGAACAGGUCUCGGGGUGAUUCUACUGUAGGAUCCAUGAGCUGAUCUAGUUUACCAGAUUUGCUCUGACCCCACCAGCUAUCUCACCAGCCAGCCAACACACACACUAGUGUGUGUGUGUGUGUGUGUGUGUGUGUGUGUCUGUGUGUGUGUCUGUGUGUGGGUGUGUGUAUGUGUAUGUGUGUGUGUGUGUGUGUGUGUCUGUGUGUGUGUCUGUGUGUGUGUGUCUGUGUGUGUCUGUGUGUGUGUGUCUGUGUGUGUGUGUGUCUGUAUCUGUGUGUGUCUGUGUGUGUGUGUCUGUGUGUGUCUGUGUGUGUGUGUCUGUGUGUGUGUCUGUGUAUGUGUCUGUGUGUGUGUGUGUGUGUGUGUGUGUGUGUGUGUGUGUGUGAGGCAGGGUCUCAUGUAGCCUAGCUGAUCUUGAAUUAGCUGUGUAGCUGAAGAUGAUCUUUGACUCCUGAUUUUCCCAAACUCUUCUCCAGUGCCAGGAUCAGACUUGACACCAAGAUUAGCGGUUCCUCUUUCUGAAGGUGGCUUUUGCUUUAUCCUGCUGGAGGGUCUCUCACAAGGGCCCAGCUCUUCCUUUAUGUGUCCUGCAACCACGCCUAAACAGGUGACAGGGAGAAGUCUGACUGACAUAAAACUGUCUGGGCGUCUGUCCCAUGACUGGCUGGUCCCAGAGACAUAAGAGGUCUAGCCUCCUCUCUGCCCCCGUCUAUCUUUCUCUACCCUUCUCUACCUGUCUCCUGUCCUUUCCCUAACCUCUCCAGUCACCCCUGCCCACUUCCCUCCCUACCCACUUUCCCAGAGCAAGAACAAGAGAACAAACAAGACAAACCCAGAGGCGACGGUAGUGGCAGCAACGAGGGACACAGGGAACCGGCCUUCAUUCCCCGGCUUCCCUGAUCCCGACCUUAAUCCCUGCUCAGCAUCCUGUCAGCCGGCUGUUCUGAGCUGACAUUGCUGCAGGCACCUUCUCCGCAUCCCUUCCUCAGAUCUACCUCCUCUGGGGACUUUUAAAGAGGAGCCCGAGGUUUCUCUGUUACAGGCCGAUUCGCUGGCUGCCCUCAAGCAAAACCUGGGCUCCCGCGG